UUAAAAAUAAGCUAAACAUAAUAAGCUUUUGGGUUCAUACCCCAAAUAUAAAGAUAACUUUUUUCUAAA
rnacentral:tRNA from 1 species